rnacentral:tRNA from 1 species
ACGUUAUUAGUAUAGAAAUAUAUCUAGCUUCCAACUAGAAGACCUUGGCCACUAACCCAAGAUUACGUA